AACGCACGAGACCUGCGGACCUGCGGAGGGAUCAUUAUUGAGGUUUUUCUCUAUUUCAGAGACCCUCCCACCCUUUGUCUAUUGACCUGUUGCUUCGGCGAGUCGAUUACUUCAAGUAACCGUCGACUUUUAGUGGGCGUGCACUCGCCGAAGAAUUUUUACUCUUGAUUUUGAAGUUUUUCUUACUCACAAAAAAAAUCAAAACUUUCAACAACGGAUCUCUAGAUCGGAAGAGCACAC
rnacentral:misc_RNA from 1 species